rnacentral:tRNA from 1 species
GAGGUUGUGGCUCAGUGGUAGAGCGCUCGCCUAGCAUGUGUGAGGCCCUGGGUUCAAUAUUCAGCACCACA